ensembl:ncRNA F25D7.6 ncRNA
UUUGUUCGCGCACUCUCUUGCAUAAUGGACGCUGCUGGACGACGACGACGACGACACAGAGAGGCUUCUUCUUCCCCUUGAACCUGUUCUUGCAUAUCGGGCCUGUAGAGAUCCGCCAAAGUGAUUCG